UUCGUCCAAGUGAAGCAGAGGACAGUGGCGGACGGGUGAGUAACGCGUGAGGAACCUGCCUUUCAAGGGGGACAACAGUUGGAAACGACUGCUAAUACCGCAUAAGCGCACAGCUUCGCAUGAAGCAGUGUGAAAAACUCCGGUGGUACAAGAUGGACCCGCGUCUGAUUAGCUGGUUGGUGAGGUAACGGCCCACCAAGGCGACGAUCAGUAGCCGACCUGAGAGGGUGAUCGGCCACAUUGGAACUGAGACACGGUCCAAACUCC
rnacentral:rRNA from 1 species